UCACAUAAAUUGGGACAAAGGGAGUAUUGGUUUUGUUAGAGAUUUUUAUGUCAGCUUUCUGGAUUGAAACGGAUUAACGGGUACGGUAUGGCCGAUCCAGUUGUUUGAGGUUGAAGCAUUGCUCUUGUUGUUGUUUUUCUUCUGUUUGUUGGCUUCAUGUUUUAGUAUAAAAGUAUCAAGUUUCAUUCUUUUAGCAUUUGUCUCGAGUUCUGCUUUUUCAAUUAGGGAUGAGAAGCUAUGUGGCUCGAACUCUUGAAAAAUGUCGACGGGUGAGUGUCAGAUACUCAAAAUGUAGUGCAUUUUAGAGAAUCCGACACGGGUGCGGCAACUUUUUUGGAGAGUCGGAGCAACAUGGGGGCCGAGCCACAUAGGGACGAGGGGGUUCAUCUGAAAAAUAACAAUGUUUAUACAUGGUUAAAAUUAGUUUUUAUGUAUAUAUAGGAGAUGUUGAACCCCCUUGGCUUCUUCAUGUGUUUAUUUUUUAAUAUUUUCCCUUAGUGAAAAUCCUGGCUCCCCACUGGCAACGUGGCUGAGAAGUACAAGAAUUCACGAGUCUGAUUUGAGCAUAUACUACUAGUUUGAGGUUGAAGCAUCUGUAUUGUAAUUCUUGUGCUUGUUGGCUUCAUGAAUUAAUAUGGAAGUUUCAAAUUUUCAUGCUUUUAGGAUUUAUCGCUGUUUCCAUUCCACAAGUGUUACGGAUAAUCUAGGUAUGUGAUACAACAACAAAAUACCUGGUGUAAUCCCACAAGUGGGUAGGGUGGUGUGUACGCAGACUUUACCCUACCUCGUGAAGGUAGAGAGGCCGUUUUUUAUAGAACCUCGACUCAAUCUAGACAUUUGAUGAUUAAUAAAUUAAUCAGACAGUUCAGAUUAAUUAGCCUCAUUUACACAAAAAUGAUUACUGAAUGAUUCUUUAAAUGAUUACUGAAUGAUUCUUUUUCAUCAAAAUUAUAAAUUUAUUAGAUUACCUUACAAAAUUUAUUACUAAACCAAACAUAGAAUCUAAAUACUAAAACUUUGGCGAAAAAGGAAAAUUGAGAAACAGUGAGAGGGGUAUAAAAGUAGUGAGAAAAACGUCCUCUUUCCAUUUUUUUCUUUCUUCUCUAACCUGAGGCACCAGAGUAAGCAGAGAGCAAUGUCGAAAAUCCCUAUAGGGUGUGAGCCAAUGGUGGGAUCACUAACGCCGUCCAACAAAAGAAAAUACAGAAUGACUUGCAAAAUCCAACAACCCAACAAAUGGAAGAACAACAACAAAAAAGAAGGCAACCGCCCAUUAUACGCCAUUGUCUUCAAUUUCAUCGACUCUCGCUACUUCAAUCUCUUUGUUGCUGUGGACGGAAAUCGAGUUACCGUAUACCAAUGUCUCGAAGGUGGUGUUAUUGCUGUGCUGCAAUCUUAUAUUGAUGAAGAUAAAGAUGAAUCAUUUUACACGGUAAGUUGGGCCUGCAAUAUUGAUGGGAGUCCAUUAGUAGUGGCGGGAGGAAUAAAUGGAAUUCUCCGUGUUAUUGAUGCUGGCAAUGAGAAGAUACACAAGAGCUUUGUUGGGCAUGGAGACUCAAUAAACGAAAUUAGGACUCAAGCCUUGAAACCAUCUCUUGUAGUAUCUGCCAGCAAAGAUGAAUCCGUUCGCUUGUGGAAUGUUCAUACUGGAAUAUGCAUUUUGGUAUUUGCUGGUGCUGGGGGUCACCGAAAUGAAGUACUCAGUGUGGACUUCCAUCCUUCUGAUAUAUAUCGCAUUGCUAGCUGUGGAAUGGAUAACACUGUUAAGAUCUGGUCAAUGAAAGAGUUCUGGACAUAUGUAGAGAAAUCAUUUACUUGGACGGAUCUUCCUUCCAAGUUCCCCACAAAAUAUGUUCAGUUUCCGAUAUUCAUAGCUUCAGUCCAUAACAACUACGUUGACUGUAACAGAUGGCUUGGUGAUUUUAUCUUGUCCAAGAUAUUUACUAUUCUGAAUUCAGAGAGGGGAAAUCAGAAUAACCUGGGAACCUUGGAAAAGCAAAGGAUAGCUUUAUAUUUGACCACAGAUGGUCUUCUCAUAUAACCUGUACUGAUCUGUAAAUUUUGUUGGAAAUACUCAGAGUGUUGACAAUGAAAUUGUACUAUGGGAACCAAAAAUGAAAGAACACUCUCCUGGAGAGGGCACCGUUGACAUCCUCCAAAAGUAUCCUGUCCCAGAGUGUGAUAUCUGGUUCAUCAAGUUUUCAUGUGAUUUUCACUACAAAGCAGC